UGAGACCGUGAGACACAGGAAGUCAUCACUUCAUUUUUCUUUCUCCACUCGUCACUUUGCUUUCUCCGCCAGCCAUCUCCGCCAGCCGGCUCCUCUGCCGCCACGCCGUCGCCCAGCGCCCCACCCCCCACCCACACCACCACGGGAUCUCCCCGUCUCGUCCUAUCCCCACCACGGCCUCGCCCCGCCGGCUCUUAUCCCCACGACGGCCUCGCCUCGCCGGCCCUUAUCACCACGAUGGCCUCUCCCCGCCGCCUCUUGUCACCACCGCGGCCUUGCCUCGCCGCCAACCCCACGGAUCUUCCCUAGAUCGGUUCUGCCGCCGCCAUCGUACUGCCCCAGAGCAGAUCGAGAUGCGAGCUGCUGGACACGACGUGGGAGGAGGCAUCUCGAAUUGGCCCGAGAUUCAGUGCGUUGACGUGCCCGCCGCAAUCAUCGCCCCCCGUGCUUGGCUCACAUAGUCGCUCCGGGAAGGGGUUCGCAGCUCGCAUACGUGCUCGGUUGCUGAAGGUAUGUUGUUCGAUUAGAUGUUAUUAGUGCACCUAGCCACCUACGGUUAUCAGUGGGGAUUUAGUCAGGUGACAUUUUUGAAGCAACCAUGCUGUGACAAAGAUGAUUGAUUUGUGGAUUUGAAUUCUGGGUGGCUUAAUUUGUCACUAUCAGCUAUUUAUAAUUGAUGUCGAGUCGUUGCUUUUUGUGGCAGUUGCUUGAUUUGUGUGGUAUUCUCAUGUUGUAAUGUCACAUUAUUACUGGCACUAAGUAACUGAGAGUUCUAGGAACCAAGUUGAUAUCUGUAUAGUUUGUAUAAGAAAUACAUGUGACUACAUAAUUUGACAUCUUUCCUUUGCUGAUGCUUUAGCCAUUGUAUGCACAACAGGCGCCUUCGCCACAUUGUCAUUCAUAUGCGAGAUGUUUCUCUUUCUCUAUGUUGGCAUGGAGGAUAUAGUGUAGUGGAAGAUUGUUAGUGAAACGCAUACAGGUAUGCCAUCUAUCUGCUUCUUUCCAUGUGUGUAGUAACAUAUUUGCUGCUCAAAUCCAGAAAUUGUAACACAUUUUCUAUACUAUAUGCAGCCCAAUGAAAUCUAUCGCCUCGAGCUCCAUUAUUUAGGCCAGAUGUCAUGAGAGGUGUUGUGUCAAUUGCAUUGGCAUACAAUAAGGUAAAGAAUUGCAUUGGCAUACCAGAUCUGUUGAUGAAAUGUCCUUCAGGAAUGCUAUGCAGUGAUAAAAUAAACAUAAUAGCAUACCAAAUGUGCCCUGUUAAGCAUAAAUGCUCUGAGUUAUAUUAGGAGGCGUACCCAUCCGUUUGAAGACUGCUCUUAAUAUAUUCUUCUCUUUUCCAUGUUGUAACAUCUCGAUUAGUCCACUUAUCAGAUUUUAAUUCCAUGUGCUUGGAUGCAUAUUUGAAUAAAUCCUCCAGUCCUUCUAGCUGUUGUACCAACAAAUGGAAAAAGUAUAAGCAUCACAAGCAAGAAAUAAGAAAAAAAGCUUGUAGAAAAGAUGGUGCAGUAGGACUAAGGACUAACCGUAUCAAUGAGGUCCUUGCGGUCAGUGGCGGAUNNNNNNNNNNNNNNNNNNNNNNNNNNNNNNNNNNNNNNNNNNNNNNNNNNNNNNNNNNNNNNNNNNNNNNNNNNNNNNNNNNNNNNNNNNNNNNNNNNNNNNNNNNNNNNNNNNNNNNNNNNNNNNNNNNNNNNNNNNNNNNNNNNNNNNNNNNNNNNGACCCAGGCCCGGGGCAUGAGGCCCAGUUCUUUCGUAUACUGUAGCAAAUACUGUAGCAAAAGUACUGUAGUCCACGAAGGGGGCCGGGGCGCUGGGCUGGGCUGGAUCCGCCCCUGUUUGCAGUUCAUGCAUGGGCCUAGCGAGUCGAGCACUUGAACACAUUGUUUUCUGGCAUUUAUAAUACAUAGGUACCAGUGAACGUCGUCCAUGUUUAUUGGAAUGUAUAUCUGAAAAAAAUGAUUAUUUUAGUUGUAUUCGUAUGUGGACGAAUCAGUCGUUCUCGCUGUAAUUCAUAGAAAUAUGUAGAAAACUAAGACUAACCAUAUCAUUUUCCAAAUACGCUUUGGCUCUGUUUAAUACCCGUGCUGGUUCAGCAUCCGUGUCAUUUGAUGGCAGAUAGCUACCGAUCUUUAUCAUCUUAGAGAUGCAUGCAUUCUCUAAGAACACGGUUCCACCUGACCUUACUUGUAGAUGCUUCGUAGCAGUCAUGCAAUUUAUGUACGUAUUUAUGACCUACAAUUAAAAGUAUACAUAGUAUAUUAGAUGACACAUACUCAUAAUCAAAUAGUAUCUUCCUGUCCUAAUGCGAUAAUAAUAAUAAUAAUAAUAUACUUACUUCGUCGCCAACCCAUUCUCUGGGAGUUAGAAGAGAUAGUAAAUGUCUUUUUUUCAGAAAUGCGUCGCCGAUGCUCACUAAAUUUCUUUCUUUGCUGGUUUCGGAUAUGAUAUUUUGUAUAACGGACCAAUCAUCGCCAGUGCAGGCAUAAUCUGUCAUGAUGGCCAUGAUAACAUUUAAUGAUAAUGAACACAAAAACAAUAAUGUAGCAGUACAAGGACAUUGAAGGUUUUGUUCUGUGCCUUGUGGAGAAACAACAUAGUCUCGUGCUAUCUUAGGCUUGUUAUGCCGUCGUAUAUGUUUGUUUAUAUGCAUGGGCAUUGUUAGCUUGUCCUCUAUAGUUUGAAGCCCUUCCGUGCCGGGUGUUUGUGCCAAUUCCUCGUCCUCAGUUACCACCAUUUGUUGACUUGUUUCGUUGUGGGUUAAUUUCUGAGGACAAUAUUAAAAGAAUUACCCAUAUGUAGGAUAUAAUAUAAUUAGAAUGAUUUUGGAAGAAAUAGUUGGAAAAGGGUCGCCACUUGUGUAUGUUCAGAAUAUUUGGCCUCUCUGUUUGCUAUGUUUUCAUCAAGAAUAGGUGUAUAUUCUGAGCUCUCCGUGCAAUUACUUUCCUCCACUUCAUUAUUGUUCAAUAUUUCACUUGAUUCGUCAUCGCUCGGUAGCUGAAACACGUGGUAGUAUAAUAUUAUAACAGAGAGAAUAUCUUUUUAUAUGCAUCCAGCCUCAUAUAACCUUUUGAUUUUCUGGCUUUGAGUACCAGUCCAGCCUCAUAGUCUCAAUCUUGAUAUACAUGUCAACAGCCCACUGUUGGAAAAGGCGCCCACCGAACAAGAUGAUGUUAAAAAGCUUCUUCCUGGCCUGUAGCUUGAAGCAGUAGUACUCCCUCGCACUAACAAAUUUCCUGGAUUGUGUUGCAUUCACCUCAUUGUCACCAAGAUCCUCAUCUUGGUUAUCCUCAUUAUCAUCUACAAUAUCGAAGAUAAAUAGCAGUAUAAUGGCUGGACUCAUAAUGUUUGACAACAUAAGAUUUGCUUAAGAAUAAGCAAGGACGACUGAUACCUGCAUGUACACCAGUGGCAUGGUCUUCAUCUGGCACAAAGUUGCCAACUUGUUCCCUUUCAUUAAUCAAAUUAUCAUCUAUUUGAUAGGUCGACCAAGACAUAAGUUUUUAUUCACAAAUAUGGUAAGUAGAUAAUAACAAAUUAAUAAUGAACAUCAUACAUGUAUGUAAAUCAGUUACUCGGUCUUCAGCUGGCACAAAGUUCCCAAAUUGUUCCCUUCCAUUAACCAAGUUUCCAUCUGCUUGAGAGGUGAACGAAGACAACUGUUUUUAUAUUCUUAAAGAUAGUAAGUAGAUAACACAUUAGUAAUGAACAUAAUACCUGUAUGUAGUUGAGAGGCCCGGUUUUCUUGCGGUCCAGAAUUAUGUGCUGGAUCUUGGGUGGUGUAAUCAGGGGCCUGAACAUACGGCAUCCAGCGAUUCCAACCACUCUCCCCACGUGGGAAAAACAAUGGAUAUGACAAUGGGUCAUAGCACCCAUAGUAGGCUCUAAUAUACAGGGGUCGGUCUCCUUUUUUGCCAUGCACGACAACACUCCUGUCAAAACAAUUUUGUGGGUGGCUCCCCUCAACACAUAUUGCUGCCACCUGAGAAGUCGUUGGGGCAUUGUACGUACGUUGAUCCAACUUGAUAUCUGUGUUUAGUGAGAUCUUGUACUCAUCUAGAUUCGGAACAGACCCAAGGCUCUUGAAAGCCUGCGCAUGAGGUUUAGGCUCUAGUAUUAGCAGAAUUUUCCGUAUGAGAUCUAUAUUUAGAUCUGGAGACCUCUUAGCCCUGUGCACCAAGUUAUGAUCUGUAUCAUAAAUAUAGAGCUGCAAAUGCCUAGGGCCAUUAUUAGCCGGCACCAGAUCAUCAAGAGCGUGGUACAACCCCCCACAUGCACGGAAGGUAUAUACGCCGGUUCGUGCCGCAGUGCUUACUCGACGAUCAAGGGUGACUCCAAGACUUGUGAAUGAGAAGUGAGAGUUGAAGUAUCGUAUAUUGUCUCGAAAAUAUUUAGCAUCGUCAUCACAUUGACUUGUGAACAACCGUUUCAACUCGUCCGGAACCUCGGGUGUAAAUAAACCUACUUUCCCCUUUCUGCAACAAAAUGCAGGUCCCUCGUAUUGAAACCGCAAUGCUCCACAGUGGAGGCAGUCCCUAACUUUCCUAAGGACGUGGUGAUUUCUGGGAAGGUUAAUGUAAACCCUAUCAUGAGGAUCAUUUGUGUUUGUUCCAUCAGUGUGACAUCGUUCAACUCGGUAGGAUUCAAAUUCAACACCUGGAACAGAAUUUGAAUAUUCAGGCAUCUUUUGAUAUGCAAAAAUGACACUAACAGAAUUUGGUUCAUACCUUGGUGGGAGAACAUCCUAGCUUCUUCAUCAUGCUCAAGGUAUUCAGCUUCUACAAGGUUUCCGUCUUCCAAGCAGUCUAUAGUAGACAAAUAUUAGUUUGUAAUAAUGUAUAAGAUCUCGUAAAUUAAACAAAGAACCAUAUAUGCAUUAAUGUGAACCAUCAAUGUUGUUUGUGUUGCCAUCGGGCUCCAGUAUUCCAUAUGCAUCAUCUUCGUGGUCAUUUCCUGGCAGCAUAUUCAGGCAAAAUGGGCAAGUAUGAGCUAUGAAUGAAAGGUAUGAACCAAGCAGUAGUCAAUUAAAUCACCAUUAUAUUUGUCGACGGGAUUGUGCCCACAUGACGGCGCAGUGAGUAUGUUGUCUGGCAGCAUCCUCCUUCCAAAGUCUUGUCUCUGGUACAUAUCAUUUGUGUGUAGCCAAUCACAAUCUUCAUCAGCUAAAGAAACAUUGAGUGUCUGUCAGUUAGGAAAUGAAAGAUUGGAUAUACAGUGUUCCAUGUAGUUGGCAUCACCUAUAUCGGAUUGAUUUUGUUCUGCAGUAGCAAGGACUACUGUUGACGAUUUGGUUCGACGCUGUUUGUCACGUAGGCUUUGCAAUAUGACUUGCUUAUGUUGCUCAUAGCGGGCAUUUCCCUUCCGCCCCUUAAGUGCUUGUUUUGCUUCUAUACAAUAAGUGUUAAUUUGGUACAAGACAACAUGAGCAACAAUUGUUUUUACUCUGUAUGGUAGUUAAUAUGAGCGACACUUGAUUACCAUAUGAACUGCUGCCUCUGUAGGAUUGAAGUGGCGGUGGUAACAUAGUCAGUUGGGAGGACCCAAUGGCAGAGUCGAUAUUAUUGACAUUUUCCUUGUUAGAAACGGCGGUAUCUGGUGUUCUUAAUGAAUUUGGACCAUGAGGUGGAGUCUGAUCACUCAUUAUCACAUGAACAGGUAUGCCUGCAUCAUAAUUGUAUGCACAAUGUUAGUUGUUGACACACAAACGCCGAUAUUAUGGUUGGAUGUAGGAGAAAACAUGACCUUCCGCAGCUGGUGUGUGUCAUUGUUGGGUGAUAGCAGACUGCUUACUGGGCAUCUCCAAAGUGUCAAAACCUGUCAAAAAGAACACUUAAUUAACAUGAAUUUACUUGUGAUUCAUGAAAUGUAUUAUUACAAACAGAGAAAAUGGAGUAACCAGGCGACAUGGCCCCAUGUGGCUUAGAUGGAGUGUUGAUUCCAUUUAGAAUAGCAGCCGUAGCUUUCUUACGAUCCCUUGCCUCCUGUCUUUUCUUUAAUAUUGCAUCCCUGUUUAGUGCAUACCUCUUCCUUUCCCUCUGUCUCUUCAGCUCUUUUGGAUCUGGUUUUUGACCUGUGAGACAAUGGCAUAUUCUAGAUUUACAAGAUCAAAGUAGGUAAGAGUAGGUGAUAUAUGUAUUUACCUGAAUUGCUGUUAUUUGUCAGGUUCUGAAUGGGAGUACGUAUCCCACUACGCUGAGAGGAUGACAUAUUGUCUUUUCAAUGGUUCCACUUGUGAAACACUUAUUUAACCCUUCGUCAACUCAAUUUGUUCAUGAUAUACUAUAAGUAUCAAAUUUCGUCAACUCAGUUUGUUCAUGAUAUACUGUAAGUAUCAAAUUUCAUAGUACAAAUUACAGACUCAGAUUGAAAGAGCAAUUUCCUUUGUCUUUUGUCGGAUCAUAAGACGUGGAAAUUAACUUGAUCUAACCUGUGGCCCUGGCAGGUCGAGAUGCUGCUGCCCACACGGGGUGAUGACACCGCAGGUAGGGUAGCGCGCCGGGUUGAGGAUGUCCACCGGGUCGAGGACGUCGCGGACAGGGCGAGGGCGGCGUGGCGAGGACGGCGGGGCGAGGAGAGGUAGGGAAGCAAGGUGGGUCGAGGACGUCGCGGACACCAGGGGCUUAGGCGACGGGGCGGCUAGCCGAGGCGAGGUUCGUGGCGUGAUGGCGGCGUUGAUCGUGGAGGAUCGUGGCGUGGUGGGGCACUGUGUAGGAUCCUGGAUGGGGGAGUCUGCCGGCAGAACAUUUGUUUUGAACCAUAGAUCUGUUUGUAUUAUGGUGGAUGUAAUGUGGACUGUUGGAUGCAUCUAAGUGGGUUUGAUCGGACGUGCGGGGUUAUCCUGUGUGCACUUUGUGGGGUGCACGUAGGAGAAGUCAUGUUUGGUAUUUUAAUAGUAUAAGUAUAGAUAAAGAGAUUACAUGUACAACUACAAGUCAUAUACGAAGCUACAUACAAGUCUAAUACCCUCCCUCAAUUUCAACCAUCAUCCGCAAGUUGAGAUUGCGUCGACAAUUCUUAAACAAGGGUAAUGGCAACGGCUUUGUGAAGAUGUCCGUAAG
rnacentral:lncRNA from 1 species